rnacentral:rRNA from 1 species
AGCGAACGUUAGCGGCGGGCCUAACACAUGCAAGUCGAACGAGAAUGAGGGAGCAAUCCCUCUAGUAAAGUGGCGGACGGGUGCGUAACACGUGGGUGAUCUACCUUCCGGCGGGGGACAACAGUCCGAAAGGAUUGCUAAUACCGCGUACGUCGGCGAAGCCUCCGGGUUUCGUCGGGAAAGACGGCCUCUCCUUGGAAGCUGUCACCGGAAGAUGAGCCCGCGGCCCAUCAGCUAGUUGGUGAGGUAACGGCUCACCAAGGCUAAGACGGGUAGCUGGUCUGAGAGGAUGAUCAGCCACACUGGGACUGCGACACGGCCCAGACUCCUACGGGAGGCAGCAGUGGGGAAUAUUGGGCAAUGGGCGAAAGCCUGACCCAGCCACGCCGCGUGAGUGA